AUCAACGCUGGCGGCGUGCCUAACACAUGCAAGUCGCACGAGAAAGGGGAGCAAUCCCUGAGUACAGUGGCGCACGGGUGAGUAACACGUGAAUUAUCUACCUCCGAGUGGGGAAUAACUGAGAGAAAUCUUAGCUAAUACCGCAUAACACUUACGAGUCAAAGCAGCAAUGCGCUUGGAGAGGAGUUCGCGGCAGAUUAGUUAGUUGGCGGGGUAANGGCCCACCAAGACGAUGAUCUGUAUCCGGCCUGAGAGGGCGCACGGACACACUGGAACUGAAACACGGUCCAGACUCCUACGGGAGGCAGCAGUGGGGAAUUUUGCGCAAUGACGGAACCUGACGCAGCAACGCCGCGUGGAGGAU
rnacentral:rRNA from 1 species